rnacentral:rRNA from 1 species
GACAGAGGCCUCAAGCGUUAGGCGGAAUCACUGGGCUUAAAGCGUGUGUAGGCGGAUCGUUAAGUGUCUUGUGAAAUCCCAUGGCUCACCCAUGGAACUGCUUGGCAUACUGCGAGCCUUGAGCCACUUAGGGGCAACCGGAACAAACGGUGGAGCGGUGAAAUGCGUAGAUAUCGUUUGGAACGCCAAUGGUGAAAACAGGUUGCUGGGAGUGCGCUGACGCUGAGACACGAAAGCCAGGGGAGCGAACGGG